CAGAGUUUCCUUGUACUGAGCUUAUGCUCUCCACCCACUACUUAGUAAGAACUCCUUAACAACUUAAAGCUUUAUCCCUGUGAGUACCAGAAAAGUGAUCUGAGUAUUUAUUGAGCAGGGAGAACAAACUGCUUGCUCCAGGCAGGGAGAAAGCUUAUGGAAAUGAUAUUAGACCUUCAGCAAAGUGCACAGCUGCAUCAUACAGAACCUGAGACUCAAACUGACAGGCAAAUAAGCCAGAUCACGGAAGGGGCCUCUGUGUGGCAGCUCUGAGCUAUCAAGUGUUGGACAACUAGGCAAAAAGUGCAAUGGAACAGGGCAGAAAAUAACACACUAACUUCAGGCAACUGUUGCUUAUUCAUGGACUGGAAAGAAACAUUUUCCACAGAUGCCAGCUUCUGUCUGCUGUGAUGCUCCACUCUGAGUGAUGCCAUGUUCACCACUGAGCAGUACUGGCAAAGGAGAGCAGCUUCUCAGAAUGAGUCUGCAGUCGCACGGCUGGUGGUGUGGCACAGACGGAGCAAGGGUUACAUCAAGGCUGUUCUCUGGACCGUGCAAACAGUCUAGACCAAUGACCUGCAGCAUCGUGCCCUUUGAAGAAGAGGCAAGUUCAGUCACGACGAAGAAAAAUCAAGGCGUACCCCUUUUAACAAUAGGGAGCAGCUCGUGGCUGCAAAGAGGUGUGCAGCUGCCAUUCCAGGUGUGCAGCUGCCAUUCCACCUCACAGCAGGGCUGUGUUUGCUGCUCCACAAGCUGCAGAAAAGGCAGAGAGAGAAAGGAACACAGAAAGACACCAAAGCUGAGAUCUUCAAAGUACCCAAACUCCAUCAGGAAAGUUUUUGGUACCUUGCUGGUCUGUGGAUCUGUGGAGUGA
rnacentral:lncRNA from 1 species